UAUAACAUAUUAAGUUUUUUUUAGAUAUUUUAAGUUGUUAACAAUUGUAAUUUAUAAUACUUUUUAUAUAAUUUUUGAAUAAUAUAUGCUACGCUCCUUGCCCAAAAUUUUGUGUCGACGACAGCCAAUUAUAUUUUAAAAAUAAUUUAAAUUUUUGAUCAUGGUGAUUUAUAAUAUUUUUUCUAUCUCAACUUAUGUGGCACAAUGCUUACAUGACCAUAAUAAUUAAUUAGGGGUGAUAUAGUAAAAUCACGACUU
rnacentral:lncRNA from 1 species